rnacentral:rRNA from 1 species
AUUGAACGCUGGCGGCAGGCCUAACACAUGCAAGUCGAGCGGAUGAAGGGAGCUUGCUCCUGGAUUCAGCGGCGGACGGGUGAGUAAGGCCUAGGAAUCUGCCUGGUAGUGGGGGAUAACGUCCGUAAACGGGCGCUAAUACCGCAUACGUCCUUAUGUAGAAAGGGGUGGAUCUUCGGACCUAGCGCGAUCAGAUGAGCCUAGGUCGGAUUAGCUAGUUGGUGGGGUAAAGGCCUACCAAGGCGACGAUCCGUAACUGGUCUGAGAGGAUGAUCAGUCACACUGGAACUGAGACACGGUCCAGACUCCUACGGGAGGCAGCAGUGGGGAAUAUUCGACAAUGGGCGAAAGCCUGAUCCAGCCAUGCCGCGUGUGUGAAGAAGGUCUUCGGAUUGUAAAGCACUUUAAGUUGGGAGGAAGGUCAGUAAGUUAAUACCUUGAUGUUUUGACGUUACCAACAGAAUAAGCAACGGCUAACUUCGUG